rnacentral:rRNA from 1 species
CGGAGGAAAAGAAACCAACUGGGAUUACCUUAGUAACGGCGAGUGAAGCGGUAAAAGCUCAAAUUUGAAAUCUGGUACUUUCAGUGCCCGAGUUGUAAUUUGUAGAAUUUGUCUUUGAUUAGGUCCUUGUCUAUGUUCCUUGGAACAGGACGUCAUAGAGGGUGAGAAUCCCGUUUGGCGAGGAUACCUUUUCUCUGUAAGACUUUUUCGAAGAGUCGAGUUGUUUGGGAAUGCAGCUCAAAGUGGGUGGUAAAUUCCAUCUAAAGCUAAAUAUUGGCGAGAGACCGAUAGCGAACAAGUACAGUGAUGGAAAGAUGAAAAGAACUUUGAAAAGAGAGUGAAAAAGUACGUGAAAUUGUUGAAAGGGAAGGGCAUUUGAUCAGACAUGGUGUUUUUUGCAUGCACUCGCCUCUCGUGGGCUUGGGCCUCUCAAAAAUUUCACUGGGCCAACAUCAAUUCUGGCAGCAGGAUAAAUCAUUAAGAAUGUAGCUACUUCGGUAGUGUUAUAGCUUUUUGGAAUACUGUUAGCCGGGAUUGAGGACUGCGCUUCGGCAAGGAUGUUGGCAUAAUGGUUAAAUGCCGCCCGUCUG